GGAGAGAUGGCCGAGUAGGUCGAAGGCGAUCGCCUGCUAAGCGAUUGUACGGGACUAAAACCUGUACCGUGGGUUCGAAUCCCACUCUCUCCGCCA
rnacentral:tRNA from 2 species